GGGCUGUGUGCACAGCAGCCCAGCAGCGUGUUUUGUCUCCACGUGGAGUCAGCGUCUGACCGGCAUGGGCAUAAGAGCUGUUGAAUUUCAUUCUGAUUGAUAAAUCUUUUGGAGAGAAACGGGUUGGCUAGAAUGCUCUCAGAGCUGGAUCCAGCAAUUCUUACUCAUAUGUCCUGGCUUGUUCCACCGUCCUGGCUGAUGGUGCUGCCCAAAUAUGUGAGUAUUUCCACAUCGGUGAGAACAUAAUCCUCUAUCCGUACUGGUGAUGGAGAGCGAGAUCAUCUGUGAUGUCCAGGUCUUCAAAGGAUGGGUGUCCGUUUAAUGCCUCUUGGCAUGUCUACUGUUGUACACUGCAUUACCCAGCC